GACUCCAAGUCCUGGCCACACACGACUGCCACCUUCUACCUCCUUCCUCUGCCUGUCUCUUCCUCUUUGUUUUGUUUCGCAUUCUAUCUCUCAGGCUCGCUCAUGACUCAUGAGUUCUUUCAUGUGCAGGUUGAGGAGUUCUGUCGCCGUAGCAUGGAUGACACCUUGGACUAGCAGAUCGACGAUGUGGACAAAUAAAUCAACACCAUGGACGAGCAGAUCGAUGUAUUGGACGAGCAGAUCGACGUAUUGGACAAGUAAAUUGACGCGUUGGACGAGAAGAUCGAGACCUUGGACGAGCAGAUCGACGCCUUGGCCAUAGGUGGUGGUAGGCAAGGUGGGCGGCACCAAAUCCAUAUCAA